AGGGUGCGAGCGUUAAUCGGAAUUACUGGGCGUAAAGCGCAUGCAGGUGGUUUGUUAAGUCAGAUGUGAAAGACCCGGGGCGUCAACCUCGGAAUUGCAUUUGAAACUGGCAAACUAGAGUACUGUGGAGGGGGGUAGGAAUUUCAGGUGUAGCGGUGAAAUGCGUAGAGAUCUGAAGGAAUACCGGUGGCGAAGGCGGCCCCCUGGACAGAUACUGACACUCAGAUGCGAAAGCGUGGGGAGCAAACAGGAUUAGAUACCCUGGUAG
rnacentral:rRNA from 1 species